CCCUACGGGGCGCACCAGGCAGGUGAUUUUACGUUCCAACAAGUGCGAGAGGACUGCCCGUGCCAAGGCUGAACCUUCUUGGGGAUCUGUGCCAGCGCCCAGUUCAUCCAGCAGCACCAGCGAGCGGUGAUCUGCGCGUUUUAAGAUUUGCACCAACUGGGUGAUGUGCCCUGAAAAGGUCGAAAGAGAUUGCUCGAUGGAAUGCUCAUCGCCACUAUCAGCAAAUACAUCCCGAAAAAGGCUUAAACGUGAACCGGAUAAAGCCGGAAUUUGCAAACCCGAUUGUGCCAUC
rnacentral:rRNA from 1 species